CUCGGAGCGACGUGGCACGACACAAAAGCGGACAAGCAGCACCAAAGCGCCCGAAGACGACCCAACCUGCUCUCACCAUCCCCACAAGGACAAAAUAACUGUGGCUAUUACUCAUCUGCGAAGAAACCAUUCUGUGUUUGGAACAAGAAUUUCAUCCACAGUUGCUGAAUUUUACAAAGUGAAGGAAAAAGGACAUCAGAGGCUUCGCUGUAAGAACAGAGGAACCAGAAGAUGUAGACAACCAAGAAGAAAAAGUGUCGUACCUAAGGAUGAUUUGCCCUGCAUAUGUCUAUACUGGAGAUCCUCAGCUUAAUUGAUGCUGGGUACCAGCUUGGAUUUGCAAGGCUGAAACAAUGCUGCUGAAGGACAGAGAUAAGCAAUGCAGAGUACAUAAGAAAUUGUUAGUUAAAUGCAAGAGAGUCACAGUAAUGGUAAAACACUGAAAGUGCAGCCUGAUGACUUGCUCUGUGGUAUAGUAAAGGAAAUGAGUUAUCUAGGUAUGAGUCUGACCUACUUAAUUAAAUACUUUUGGGAAGGCUUUUUAAAUAUCAAAACCCUUUUCCACACAGUGCUAGGAGAAUGAGAUCAAUCACUGAAGAAUCAGGAUUUCCCUGUGGGUAAAGUAGUAAAUUCAGCCCUAUUGUAUUUCACUGUUGAGAAAAUGCUACACAAGUGGAGCAGUAGACAAGGUACUUUGUUAGAGCAACAUCACCAUGUGCGAUUGCAUGUCCUUGAGGUCCUGGGCUGGCAUCAUUAGAACCAAAUUGCAACAAGGCUUCUAUGUUAGCAAUUGGAGAGUGC